rnacentral:rRNA from 1 species
CAGACUGACCUCCGCUUCCAGAGCCAUGCAGUGCUGGCCCUUCAGGAGGCUGCAGAGGCCUACCUGGUGGGUCUCUUCGAGGACACCAACGUGUGCGCCAUCCAUGCCAAGCACGUGACCAUCAUGCCUAAGGACAUUCAGCUGGCUAGGAGGAUCCAUGGCGAGAGGGCUUAA